rnacentral:misc_RNA from 1 species
GAUGAAGAACGCAGCGAAAUGCGAUAAGUAAUGUGAAUUGCAGAAUUCAGUGAAUCAUCUAAUCUUUGAACGCACAUUGCGCCCGUCAGUAUUCUGGCGGGCAUGCCUGUUCGAGCGUCAUUACGCCCCUCAAGUCCCCUGUGGACUUGGUGUUGGGGAUCGGCGAGGCUGGUUUUCCAGCACAGCCGUCCCUUAAAUUAAUUGGCGGUCUCGCCGUGGCCCUCCUCUGCGCAGUAGUAAAACACUCGCAACAGGAGCCCGGCGCGGUCCACUGCCGUAAAACCCCCCAACUUUUUAUAGUUGACCUCGAAUCAGGUAGGACUACCCGCUGAACUUAAGCAUAUCAAUAAGCGGAGGA